rnacentral:rRNA from 1 species
UGGGGAAUAUUGCACAAUGGGCGAAAGCCUGAUGCAGCGACGCCGCGUGGAGGAAGAAGGUUUUCGGAUUGUAAACUCCUGUCUUCGGGGACGAUAAUGACGGUACCCGAGGAGGAAGCCACGGCUAACUACGUGCCAGCAGCCGCGGUAAAACGUAGGUGGCAAGCGUUGUCCGGAAUUACUGGGUGUAAAGGGAGCGCAGGCGGAAUGGCAAGUCGGAUGUGAAAACUAUGGGCUCAACCCAUAGACUGCGUCCGAAACUGUUGUUCUUGAGUGAUGUAGAGGUAGGCGGAAUUCCCGGUGUAGCGGUGGAAUGCGUAGAUAUCGGGAGGAACACCAGUGGCGAAGGCGGCCUACUGGGCAUUAACUGACGCUGAGGCUCGAAAGUAUGGGGAGCAA